GACGAACGCUGGCGGCGUGCUUAACACAUGCAAGUCGAACGGAAAGGCCCUGCUUUUGUGGGGUGCUCGAGUGGCGAACGGGUGAGUAACACGUGAGUAACCUGCCCUUGACUUUGGAAUAACUUCAGGAAACUGGGGCUAAUACCGGAUAGGAGCUCCUGCUGCAUGGUGGGGGUUGGAAAGUUUCGGCGGUUGGGGAUGGACUCGCGGCUUAUCAGCUUGUUGGUGGGGUAGUGGCUUACCAAGGCUUUGACGGGUAGCCGGCCUGAGAGGGUGACCGGCCACAUUGGGACUGAGAUACGGCCCAGACUCCUACGGGAGGCAGCAGUGGGGAAUAUUGCACAAUGGGCGGAAGCCUGAUGCAGCAACGCCGCGUGCGGGAUGACGGCCUUCGGGUUGUAAACCGCUUUCGCCUGUGACGAAGCGUGAGUGACGGUAAUGGGUAAAGAAGCACCGGCUAACUACGUGCCAGCAGCCGCGGUGAUACGUAGGGUGCGAGCGUUGUCCGGAUUUAUUGGGCGUAAAGGGCUCGUAGGUGGUUGAUCGCGUCGGAAGUGUAAUCUUGGGGCUUAACCCUGAGCGUGCUUUCGAUACGGGUUGACUUGAGGAAGGUAGGGGAGAAUGGAAUUCCUGGUGGAGCGGUGGAAUGCGCAGAUAUCAGGAGGAACACCAGUGGCGAAGGCGGUUCUCUGGGCCUUUCCUGACGCUGAGGAGCGAAAGCGUGGGGAGCGAACAGGCUUAGAUACCCUGGUAGUCCACGCUGUAAACGGUGGGUACUAGGUGUGGGGUCCAUUCCACGGGUUCCGUGCCGUAGCUAACGCUUUAAGUACCCCGCCUGGGGAGUACGGCCGCAAGGCUAAAACUCAAAGGAAUUGACGGGGCCCCGCACAAGCGGCGGAGCAUGCGGAUUAAUUCGAUGCAACGCGUAGAACCUUACCUGGGUUUGACAUGGAUCGGGAGCGCUCAGAGAUGGGUGUGCCUCUUUUGGGGUCGGUUCACAGGUGGUGCAUGGCUGUCGUCAGCUCGUGUCGUGAGAUGUUGGGUUAAGUCCCGCAACGAGCGCAACCCUUGUUCACUGUUGCCAGCACGUUAUGGUGGGGACUCAGUGGAGACCGCCGGGGUCAACUCGGAGGAAGGUGGGGAUGACGUCAAGUCAUCAUGCCCCUUAUGUCCAGGGCUUCACGCAUGCUACAAUGGCUGGUACAGAGAGUGGCGAGCCUGUGAGGGUGAGCGAAUCUCGGAAAGCCGGUCUCAGUUCGGAUUGGGGUCUGCAACUCGACCUCAUGAAGUCGGAGUCGCUUGUAAUCGCAGAUCAGCAACGCUGCGGUGAAUACGUUCCCGGG
rnacentral:rRNA from 1 species